AUGCAUUCGCAGCUCCAGAGCUGUAGGUGGCACUGUGAGCGCUGUUUGUCUGUAUUGACUCCGGCAGAAGAAAAGCGCUCAUGUGUCUGGUCUCUACUUUUAACAUCUGAGCCAUGGAAAGAAAACGCAUGUCUGCAUUAUCUAUCUAUCAGUCAUUAUCAGGAGGGACAAAACCACAAUAUCAGGCUAAGUCUCCGCCAGCGAAGAAAAUCAAAAAGAAGGAGAAUGGCAUCCAACCAAAGAAGAAACCCAAUAAAAAGAAAAGAACGAGACCUCUGAAGUCCAGCAUGAAGCUCAGCAGCAGUGAAAAGGAGACAUCUAAGGCGGUGAGUGUCUGAGCGUGUGAUGCCAGAUACUGGAGCACCAGUGGACAUCUGAAGCUCAUGAUCUUGUGUUUUUCCAGGAGAAGGACUGUGAGACACAUGAUGGUGAAGGAUCUGAGGACUCUUCUUCUCAGAUAUAAUAAUAAUAUAUCACAAUAUAUAAUAUCGUAACCUGGAGCAACAAAACCAGUCAGUAAGGUCUAGUUUUUUUUUUUAAUUGAGAUUUGUACAUCUGUAAGCUGAAUAAAUAAGCUUUCCAUUUGUUAGGAUCAGAUGAUAUUUGGCUGAGAUAC
rnacentral:lncRNA from 1 species